rnacentral:rRNA from 1 species
UACGUAGGGGGCAAGCGUUGUCCGGAAUCAUUGGGCGUAAAGCGCGUGUAGGCGGCUAGGUAAGUCUGCUCUGAAAGCCCGGGGCUCAACCCCGGGAGGCGGGUGGAUACUGUCUAGCUCGAGUCCGGAAGAGGAGUGUGGAAUUCCUGGUGUAGCGGUGAAAUGCGCAGAUAUCAGGAGGAACACUGGUGGCGAAGGCGGGUCUCUGGGCAACAACUGACGCUGAGGAGCGAAAGCGUGGGGAGCGAACAGG